rnacentral:rRNA from 1 species
UACGUAGGGUGCGAGCGUUGUCCGGAAUUAUUGGGCGUAAAGGGCUCGUAGGCGGCCUGUCGCGUCGGGGAGUGAAAGCCCCACUGCUUAACGGUGGGUCUGCUUCCGGUACGGGCGGGCUGGAGUAUGGCAGGGGGAGACUGGAAUUCCUGGUGUAGCGGUGGAAUGCGCAGAUAUCAGGAGGAACACCGGUGGCGAAGGCGGGUCUCUGGGCCAUUACUGACGCUGAGGAGCGAAAAGCGUGGGGGAGCGAACAGG